ensembl:lncRNA
CUCAACAAUGCAUUUUGGAGGUAUUUAUUUAGGGUUUUAAAAGGAGAGCACACCCACUCUGCUGCCCGGUUAGCCACAAGCUUUGGAGCGUUUACUGGUUGUCUCCCACAUCACUAUUGCUGUUACUAGUGAUAGUGACUAUCUUCUAAACCGGAUCCAUUUGGUGUCGCCUCGUGCGAGGAAACGUUAGCAACAGCUAGCAAUGGCUAAACACGUUCUCUCUUCCUAAUGAUGUUCUGUGAUCGUCUUGACGGUAUUCAAAAUAUAUACAUUUCAAUCUAAAGUUUUUUUUCUUUUUUGCAUGUUUGAAUGUAAAAGUAAGAAGCUUCGAAUGCUAACCUCCUAGAAUAAUGUUUUAAUUGGAAUCCAGCUGGACCGGUGUUUGAGAUGCUUCGGCACCAGGGCCGAUUGCGGUGCCCCUUUGAAUGAACACCACCUGCUUUAUGCAGAGAUCUGCUUCUGAGUCACAUGACCUGGCGUCACCUAUCGGAUGACUCAACUUGUCAAAACUAAAAGAGAGGACUCGGGGAGAGACAGAAGACCACUGCCUGUGAGAAGAUCUCACAUUACCUUGGAUCCAUAAAGAAAAAGGUCUAAAACAAGCUAAGAACUUGUCUGGCCUUGUUUCCUCUGGCAGAGGACUCGGGGAGAGACAGAAGACCACUGCCUGUGAGAAGAUCUCACAUUACCUUGGAUCCAUAAAGAAAAAGGUCUAAAACAAAUAAAGGAUAUCUCAUAAAAUCCACAGUGAAACAAGCAGGAGGACCAUGUGAAGAAGGUAUUAUCGUGCAACCCUUUCCCAGAUCAGGACCCGUAUGGGACCCAUCGUCCCUCCAUGAAGCCACAAGAGCUCCAAACCGCAACAGAAAGGUCCAAUAAGAGGCCGGAGAAAAGGGGAUUGUUUUGAUUAAAAGACAAUUAUCUGUGCGCAUGGACUUCCCAGUGUUGUGCGGUGUCAGGCUCCAGCUGAGCUGCUCCGUCCCAGAAGGCCUCGGGAGACAAUGGCCACUGUGUCCACAGGGUGGGGGGGUUGUUUCAUGACUCGGUCACAGCACCAUGCAACUGUGUGAAUACUGUUAAUGCCACGUAUGGGCUUAGUAGUGGGACGGUUACCCCGAAGUUGAUGUUCAAUCACCUGAAAACGACUAAACAACAAUGGGGUGAAGGCGUAAAUCGGCCUUUAAAUUAGUCUCCAGGUGGAACUCAUCAAGUUCAAAUAAUUCGCUGGGCUUUAUCCUGGAGCCCAGCAAAUGUAGUUAUUAGUUAGUAUUAGUCGAGACCGGGACGUGAACAGUAAUGCAGCGCAGUUAUUGUAAUUAUGUGUUUUCAACCAUUCAGUUCGUCAUGUAACUUUUAUGAAGCAUUUCGGGGUAGAGAGCUGAAAUGCUAUAAAGGUGCCUGCAACUGGCCUAUAUUGUGAGAUAUCAGUAGGCGUACAUCAAAGAAUUAUUUUAGUGAUCAGAAAACAGACAUUUUGACAAAAUGCUAGCUGCGCGAGCUAACAACGUUAUGAUGUAUUAUAACAAUGUAAUAGUGAGUGCCGGCUCUCCUCUUUUUCCUGCUGAUGCCUCACGUUUUAUUGCCUGUUUCCUCUGAUUAGGAGCUUAUUGAAACAUGGUUAUAGAUUCUUCACGGCAUCCCGUCCCUCGGCAGCUUUUAGCUAGCAGAAUGGCUAGCAGCCAUUGGUCGACUAUCGUUUUUUACAUCAUGUUAGUUAUUUUUCUUGUCAAACUUAUUAAUGCUAUGUAAUGCGUUUUGGAUUUUUAAAUCAAGCUACAGUAGUAAUUGCAGUUUGAGGUUUUAAAAAUCAAAACAAAUUAACUUUCUGUGAGUUGAUUUUUUCCUUUGAGUGAAAUCGUUGGAAACCUUUUGCUGCCCAGAAGGUGGGAAGGCACUCGAUUUAUCUUGAACCGUUACGUCGCGCUCAAUGUGAUGGUUCUUCAGAUUCUCUCGACUCUUAAGUUUCUUUAGGAGUAACAGAUUAGACUCAAAGGCGUCCUCAAUGCUUCCCCUCAUAAUGGCGCCCGUCAUCAGCCUCUCUAAAACUCACUUCCUGUCUUUUGUUACAAAAACCUCGAAACAAAAAAGUGUCCAUAUGUCUGAAAUGACCAAAUAUGCUCAGUUCCAUCCAGCGUCCAGCGACUGUCCGUGUGGGAUAGAAAGGCCUCAGAGCUCAAAGCCUCUCCCUUAUCUGCUGGGGCGGGCGUAACAGUGUGGCCCUUUGUGGCCCCCCCGUGUAUUUAUGAAUGGCCGAGCCUUAGGGCGAAGCCUCAGAACAAUGCCGCUACACUGAAGGACUGGUUUUCCUACGGGGGGGUGGUGAUGAUGGUGAUGGUGAUGAUGAUGAUGAUGGAGGAGGAGGUGUUGGUGGCGGGUUGACUCCCCACCGUUGGGGCUUGGUACAGAGAGUGGCGAGAGGUCUGGCUGGCGAGGGGGCUUUGCGCGUGAGACUCAGAGGGAAGGCUGCUGGAGCUACUGGAGGUCGUAGGUCGCCCACGCUCACCUACACAGAGAGGAGGCCUGUGGCUCACCAUCUGCCCGCCGGGGCCGGGAAUGCCAGGUGAAAAAAGGCAUUCUGAUACGAGCGGCCAAACCAACAGAGAAUUAAAGGGAAAGCAAACAAAUAAAUGUAGACUCAGAGCCACAUGCACGGGCCAAUAAAUACCAAGAAAGGUAAUCUUCCAGGUGGUUUAUGACACCUGCUCCCUCGUUUCAAUAAGUUAACAACCACCUACUUUGUGGGCAUAGAAAAUAUAAAUACUUAACGCAUCGAGCACUUCAAAGCAUCUACUGUAAGAGGCAACGGUUUUAUUGCAUCUGAUGAGCUGAAGUGUGGAUCUUUUCCUCCUGCCGGCGCCCUGCGCGGUGCCUUCGGCAACAGACCGUGUGACUGAACGUUGGCACGUCUCCGUGGUUGUGUUUGAAGCGAGUGUGCGCUGUUCUCAGGGCGGUGUGUGUGGGAGGGGGAGCGGUCAUGUUUUAAGACCAUCUGCUCCUCUGAGUAUUUUAGUGUGUGUGUGUGGGGGGGGGGCCUUAGCUUGCGUUGGACCAACGCGCGUCACGGGCAAACAGCAGAACGCAAGCUGUGAGCGGGCCUGUUCCGGAGAAAAAAAUUCCUCCACUUUCACACAAUGGGCAGUGUUCUGCAUACAAGGUUCCCAUUCUCCCCCACCACACCCGCCCCGUGUCCAAGAGCCCGAGCAAAACUCCUGUACACGGGCCACGGACGACAUUCACAAUGAAAAUGUUCUUCUUGGCACAGGCGAUUGUUUGUGCGAGCCCUUUGGUUGGCGUGAGACAUCUCAAUAAUGGAAGAUGACUCAUAAAAGGUGUCGUGGCCUGAUUGAGCGGAGCCGAUUUUUCUCCCCGCAUCGCGUUGCUCUUUAGACAUUGGAAAAAGGCAGAAAAUGUUGACCACAUGGCUUCUUUCUCAUUGACGGAGACAAACGUGACAUAAGUGUGUUCGUCUGGACCCUCACUCGGCCGCACGCUUCAUGUGCACACAAUGCCUACGGUCCCAGAAGGACAAUAGAGCAGGCUGAGCUUCCACUCAGCGGAGGAAGGUCACAUAUCUGCACACCCCACGCUGCGUAGUGU